GAUGAACGCUAGCGGCAGGCCUAACACAUGCAAGUCGAGGGGUAGAAGUCUUCGGGCUUUGAGACCGGCGCACGGGUGCGUAACGCGUAUGCAAUCUGCCUUACACUAAGGGAUAGCCCAGAGAAAUUUGGAUUAAUACCUUAUAGUAUAUUUUUGUGGCAUCACAGGAUUAUUAAAGAUUUAUCGGUGUAAGAUGAGCAUGCGUCCCAUUAGCUAGUUGGUAUGGUAACGGCAUACCAAGGCAAUGAUGGGUAGGGGUCCUGAGAGGGCGAUCCCCCACACUGGUACGGAGAAACGGACCAGACUCCUACGGGAGGCAGAAGUGAGGAAUAUUGGACAAUGGGCGCAAGCCUGAUCCAGCCAUGCCGCGUGCAGGAUGAAGGCGUUAUGCGUUGUAAACUGCUUUUAUACAGGAAGAAACGACUCUUGCGAGAGGCAUUGACGGUACUGUAUGAAUAAGCACCGGCUAACUCCGUGCCAGCAGCCGCCGUAAGAC
rnacentral:rRNA from 1 species